GUGGUUUAAUUCGAAGCAACGACGAAGAACCUUACCAGGUCUUGACAUCCCGAUGCUAUUUCUAGAGAUAGAAGUUACUUCGGUACAUCGGUGACAGGUGGUUGCAUGGUUGUCGUCAGCUCGUGUCGUGAGAUGUUGGUUAAGUCCCGCAACGAGCGCAACCCCUAUUGUUAGUUGCCAUCAUUCAGUUGGGCACUCUAGCGAGACUGCCGGUAAUAAACCGGAGGAAGGUGGGGAUGACGUCAAAUCAUCAUGCCCCUUAUUGACCUGGGCUACACACGUGCUACAAUGGUUGGUACAACGAGUUGCGAGUCGGUGACGGCGAGCUAAUCUCUUAAAGCCAAUCUCAGUUCGGAUUGCAGGCUGCAACUCGCCUGCAUGAAGCCGGAAUCGCUAGUAAUCGCGGAUCAGCAUGCCGCGGUGAAUACGUUCCCGGGCCUU
rnacentral:rRNA from 1 species